rnacentral:lncRNA from 1 species
GUUGGGAUUCUGUGUUCUGACGUCGUUUCUCAUCUAACAACGUGUUAUAUUGUUUUUUAAUUUGUCUGUGUUCUAUCCUUAAUAUUACUUUUACUGUUGAAUUGUUUUAUGAAAUAUCCAUUCAACGUGGCUCUGUACUAGUACAUCCCGUCAAUGUGUUUGUAUUAUCUUUCAUUUUUGCUGGUGUGUUUUGUAUAUGAGACUUUUGUGUUUCGUUGGUUCUUAUAACGUAACUCUGUACUUUAUAAGAUCUUGCAAGUAUGUUAUUGUUCUA